GCACUAUCCACCAUUCAUCCAUGACGGGCGGGUGGAGAGCGUCUACGUCUCACCGAUGCCCGUGGCGACUGGCGACGGCGGCGGCAUGUGGUGCGGCAGGCAUCAGCCGCGCGGCGCGGAGGGGGCGGAGGAUCCACUGCAACGGCAACUCCUCCCAAGCGGUCAGUGGCGAGCCGUGCGUCGUCCCCUAACCCUACCUCUCACUACGGCGCGGAUCUCCCUCGGCGGUGCCACCGCAGCCGAGACGGUCUUCGCGCUACCAAUCUCAGCUAGGUUUGGGGAUAUCCUCCAGCCAUGAUGUCGAAGAGAGCCGCGGCAGAGGCAGCAACCGGAUGCUCAGCCCCCGUGGGAGCCAUGGAGCUCAUCCCCUUCCAGCCGGCGGCCGGUGCUCUCGGCGAGGCUAUUGCCUACCCUACUGCUGGCCGUCGGGCACCACUAUCCUUUAUCCUAGGGUUUGGGUUGGGAUCUAUUCCGUUGAUGACUGCGGAUUUACCAUAAACCCACAGCACCAUCCGCUGCCUCCUAGCUCGCAGGUGAUUCCUCUUCUAGGUCAAAUAGCCCAUAGCUUUUCUACUACUCUAAUCCUGUUUAGCCUCUCCCCUAUUAGCACUGAAUAGGUAUUGCAAAGCUCUGCCAAUUCGAUUACAAGCUUAAGUUAUUUAAAUGUGUGAGGCGUGGUGAGGUUAGAAAUUUGAUGCAUGUGGCAGAACAAGGUCGACAUAUACUUGCAGAUCACUUUUUUAUUCCUUUAUACUCUAAUAGGUAGACUUUUGCUCUAAUUUGUGCUUGCUCUAUACUAAUAAGAGGGUUGAUAAACUAACAGAGUAGGGUGCACUAGUUUAGUAAGUAUGGAACCUAAGCAAACUGAUUAGCUUCUAGCGCGUCCGGCAAAGAAUUCUUUGCCAUGCCUCAGUUUAGGAUUUGAUACUUGAGGUGUGCUCAAGUGCUUUAUUCCCUAUUUCUUGCGAUUUCAGUUGAUGGUGGUUUACUUAAAGUAGUGGUUGUAUAUAAAAUCAAAUUGUACUGCUUCUCUAGUUCAUGUGGUUUUUAAUUCAUUUGCACCUCAUGAACUGUUUGUAAAGUAGCUCGAGGCCUGAUGGGUACUGGCCUAUCAGCCUAUGUUGUAUAGAUUGCAAGUUGUAAUAUAGGUGGCUAUGUGCUGAUCAAGAAUUAGAGCAGUGCUUCAGUUGCGACUAGUUACUAGUUGCCUACUGUCCUUACAGGAUACCUGUGGCUAUACGUGGCUGUUGUGCCAAAAUUCCAUCUUGGUGAUAACUGAAGGGUACAUAUUGCCUACUGUCCUUGUUUACAGUCGAGUUAAGUUCAGGGUCUUGCAUUUUUUUCUGGCCUAAUUUCUAUAUCGGUUGUCCUUUGUAAGCAAUUUAUUAUACUAAAUGAACAAGUAAUUUAUUCAUUUUGUGUAGCAUUUUCUGAUUUUUCAGCUUUUUCCCAUACUGUUGGUAUUUGAUUCAGCCAUAAGAUUCUUUAAUUCUGUCAAGAUUGGCAUCACGAUAUAUUACUUACGGUGUUCGUCUAAAGUUCAGAACAUAGUAGUGUUUUUUCACAAACUAGCAGUAACCAUGGAGGACGUCAGUGUGCUUCUUUAUUAACAAAAGCUAGCAGGUAACUUGCUGGAAGUGCUUUGUUCACAAAUAGAUGUUAUAACUAUGGAUUUAUUAGCAGUAACCAUGGAUUUAUUAGCAUUUCUGUGUGCAUGAUUUAAACAGUUUUGUGUUCCAAUUUAGCAUUUUAACAAAUUUAAUAGGCAUUUAAAUGCUAUCCAGAUAGCAUUUUAAAUCUUCACAUCAAGCAUUUUUGUGUUGUUCCAUUUGAAAGGGGAAAGUGUUGAGUGAAUACACAAGAUGUAUUUUGAAUAUUGUUGGAUAUACAUUCUUUAUGAUUUUCAUGUUUCACUUUGCUCACCAUCUUUCUGUGUGGUUAAUUUUCCUAUAGCCUUUGAACACACUGCAUGUCUAUUGAGUCCUCACCCCUGCUCGUGCAACUCAUGUGUAGGUUAUGCUAAAUAAAUAAAAAAAUAGUUUAGCAUUUUUUUUAGUUCUGGUAUAGUAAGAGAAUGAAAUUUUCACAUCCUGAUUUUUUAUUUCAGUUUUAUAAUUGAUACCAUUAACUUGCUUUAUCUCUAGCCUAACAAUCUAGCACUCUUCAGUAAUUUUAUAGCAUCACAAUGAGAUCGUUCUUUUCUGUAUGCUCUGUUAGUUUUCUCCUAGUUUUUCUCUUCAAGUUGCUACUGAAUUAGGCAACACAAUACACAUAAUAUGGUUGUAAAUUAGCAAUAAUACACAUACGUUAUGCAUCCAUUAAAUGUGGUUACAUCCAGGACCGUGACUAUCCAGUAGGCAAUUUUUACUUUUUCAUCAGGCAAUAAUAUGGGUACAUCCAGGCAAUGCAAUAUAAUUCAUUAGGCAAUAAUAGAAUGUGUGCAGGUCACCAAAACAAUGUAAAAAUUUAUUUUUCUUAUUUUUACAUCACAGGUUGCCAAAUCAGAGCAGGAGAGGGAGAACCUAAAAAUGAUGUUCAGGUUAUAUGGUAGUCACUCCAGCCAUUAGGAGGAAGGAAAUACUAUGUACCCUGAGUAAUAUUUUGUAUUUUUCCCUCAAUUUCGUGCGUAUUAUCAGUGAAAACAUUGGUUGUAGCCGCUGUCGUCCAACUGGGCAUUUCGUGUAAACCAGAGGGCAAAAUGAAUUCUAGGCCAUCAACGUCUUCGUUCAGAUUUGCAUGGGCAAGGAGCACUUUUGCUUAGGAUGGGAGUUGAAUGAUUUUUUUCUUAUAUUUAUGAACGAUAGUGCAACAUGGAUCCUAAUUUUCUGCAUCAGGUUGAAUUUGUACAAGAGGGUAUGUGUGAUC